rnacentral:rRNA from 1 species
AGACAGCAGUCGCCGCGGGAAUACGUAGGGUGCAAGCGUUAAUCGGAAUUACUGGGCGUAAAGCGUGCGCAGGCGGUUAUAUAAGACAGAUGUGAAAUCCCCGGGCUCAACCUGGGAACUGCAUUUGUGACUGUAUAGCUAGAGUACGGCAGAGGGGGAUGGAAUUCCGCGUGUAGCAGUGAAAUGCGUAGAUAUGCGGAGGAACACCGAUGGCGAAGGCAAUCCCCUGGGCCUGUACUGACGCUCAUGCACGAAAGCGUGGGGAGCAAACAGGAUUAGAUACCCGCGUAGUCCCUGUCUCUUAUAC